rnacentral:rRNA from 1 species
GACGAACGCUGGCGGCGUGCCUAAUACAUGCAAGUAGAACGCACAGUUUAUACCGUAGCUUGCUACACCAUAGACUGUGAGUUGCGAACGGGUGAGUAACGCGUAGGUAACCUGCCUGGUAGCGGGGGAUAACUAUUGGAAACGAUAGCUAAUACCGCAUAAUAUUAAUUAUUGCAUGAUAAUUAAUUGAAAGGUGCAAUUGCACCACUACCAGAUGGACCUGCGUUGUAUUAGCUAGUAGGUGAGGUAACGGCUCACCUAGGCGAGGAUACAUAGCCGACCUAAGAGGGUGAUCGGCCGCACUGGGGCUGAGAAACGGCCCAGACUGCUGCGGGAGGCAGCAGUAGGGAAUCUUCGGCAAUGGACGAAAGGCUGACCGAGCAACGCCGCGUGAGUGAAGAAGGUUUUCGGAUCGUAAAGCUCGGUUGUAAGAGAAGAACGGGUGUGAGAGUGGAAAGUACACACUGUGACGGUAUCUGACCAGAAAGGGACGGCUAACUACGUG